rnacentral:tRNA from 1 species
UCCCCUGUAGCUCAACGGUAGAGCGCUUCGCUGUUAACGAAGAUGUUUGUGGUUCGAAUCCACACGGGGGAG